UCUGCAAGUUUGAAAUUUGAAACAGCGAGAGGACAAAGCACUAAAAAGCUAGCAGGAAAGUUGUUCCUGUGAGAAAUCCUUGUGCCUAAGGCUUCAGGUUCAGGUGCUAUUACCUCAUGCAAGUCUUCCUUGUAUGCCAUGCUUUCUGGAUCUCUUGUUGUUCACUGCUUUCCACUGGGUCUCUUCACACACAUCCUAAAGGUGUCACCAAAUCCUGACUAUGGUAUCUGAGUGUGCCAAGACAGAACAGGGCAAAAGGACUACUUCCUAUGUGUCAUAAAGGAAUCAAUAGAUGGCACUGUGUUACCGCGGGACAAGUUACCUCCCUCUGUCUCUAAGAUGGAUGAAAGACAUUGCCUACCUCUGAGUUUUCAGCUGUCUGCUUUAAUCUUUACCGGGAAACAAAAUGAAAAAAAAUACCAAACUCAAGCCCCCACAAACCCACAGCCUGGGUCUGUGUCACUCAAAUGUGCUUUACCACCGUUUCCCCUCCUCUGUCUUCAGGGUUGCUAGCCCUGAAUCAUUUCCCUGUGGGACAUUCUGGUUAGAAUAAUACACAUGAUAUGCCUUCCUUGAUUUUUGUACUUUGUUCUUUUAGCUUGUUUUUCUCUCCCUGCUAUCACAAAUGUAAAAUAAUCAGAAGGCUCAGUGAAAAAAAGUGGGAUCAGAUCUCUAGUAUAAGAUUAAGCUCCUCCAAAUGCAGGUGAUGUUUGGGAAUGCUGAUCCCCAGAUAGGCUUCUAAGUUCUUUAAACAAACGAAAAUAAAAAAUAAUGAAUGUGCUUAGCUACCUGGACAUAAAUGGCUAAUCAAGGGCCAUCCACUGACAAGUGAGUGUAGAUAGCAUUGUUCACUGAGACGUAGUUUCAAUAAAUUAUUGCUAUUAUGUGCUACAAAUAUUCGUCUCUAGAGGCUUGACCAAAAUUACCUUCAGCCACCAAGCUUGCAAAAUUGAGCUGUCUCAUGAUUGCAGAGUUGCUUGCAAUAGCUUAAUAUUUUUAUAUAUCUUUGGAAUUCAUAAAUUCACAG